GGAGUUAGCCGGUGCUUCUUCUGUGAGUGAUGUCCUUCCUGCCGGUUAUUGACCCGCAGGCCUUCUUCCUCACUGAAAGUGCUUUACAACCCGAAGGCCUUCUUCACACACGCGGCAUGGCUGGAUCAGGGUUGCCCCCAUUGUCCAAUAUUCCCCACUGCUGCCUCCCGUAGGAGUCUGGGCCGUGUCUCAGUCCCAGUGUGGCUGAUCAUCCUCUCAGACCAGCUACGGAUCGUCGCCUUGGUGAGCCGUUACCUCACCAACCAGCUAAUCCGACAUAGGCUCAUCCGAUAGCGCGAGGCCCGAAGGUCCCCCGNUUUCCCCCGUAGGGCGUAUGCGGUAUUAGCCUGGGUUUCCCCAGGUUAUCCCCCACUACCGGGCAGAUUCCUAUGCAUUACUCACCCGUCCGCCGCUCGCCACCAGGGAGCAAGCUCCCCGUGCUGCCGCUCGACUUGCAUGUGUUAGGCCUGCCGCCAGCGUUCAAUCUGAGCCAGAAUCAAACUCUGA
rnacentral:rRNA from 1 species